rnacentral:lncRNA from 1 species
GAGAGAGGGAGGCAUAUAAAUUUCCACACACGACAAAAUCUUUCUUCUAAUGCUUCUCUGUCCAGCUGCCUCAGGGCCUCCUUACUCAUCAGACUUCUUUUUUAAAAGAGGCUCCUCUUGCCUCCUCGCCAGUCCUUUCCCGAGGCUCUGCCAUCUGUCGUAUCCGACCCCUCAGCGGGAGCUGCCAUCCACCAUGGUUUGAGCUGAACUGAACUCUCAGCCUCUUGUCUCAUGAUUCCCUUCCCUCUGGGGCGGCUCUUCAUUCAUUCACUCAGUCCUUCCACAAGCGGUCAUUGAAAGCUUCCUGUGUGCCAAGUCCUAGGCUCCAGCUUCCAGGCUGCCCCUCCCUGCGUGCACCCCUUCAGCGCUGACCACUCCUGAGCUUCAGGCCUGAAGUCACAGCUGCCCGUCAGACCCCCGUGCCUUGACUGCAGGCUUCCUCCAGGCUCCCCAGCUCAUCCAAGGACAGCGCUGUCUCACAAUCACAGAAGCCUGUGAUGCGGGCUUGAGCCCCCCAUCUCUGCACAUCCCACAUUUUACAGGUCACAUCCUUGACCUGAGAACGUGUCUGGAAUCUGGCCCCCCUCACCUUGGCCACCUGUUCCCCUCCUAGGUGUCACGCACGCGCGCGCACACACACACACACCUGGCCCUGGGUUUUGGAAGUAGCCUGCCAAUCAGUCACACACACACACACACAGCCCUGGGUUUUGGAAGUAGCCUGCCAACCAGUCUGCCUGCCUCAGACAACUUCUCAGCUCUCAUGGCCCCAGGUGACCUUUCUUUUCAAACAUUCCCCUGCGUCUGCCUCCACACUGGCCACACCCAUCCCCUUGCGGACUAGGUCCUCUCUGCGUGGCUCACCAGCCCUCUUAUCACUUCCUCCUCUUGUUCCAGACGAGCUCAUACACAUCCACAAUUUUAAUUACAGUGUGUUCCCAGAAGGCUCCAAAUACGUCUAGCCCCAGCCUCUUCCCAGAACUUCCAGAUCUGUCUUUCCAGCUUGGAUGUCCCAAAGACACCUCCAACUCAACCCACAGUUCACCAUCCUCCCCCAACCCCU